rnacentral:rRNA from 1 species
AGUGAACGCUGGCGGUAGGCCUAACACAUGCAAGUCGAACGGCAGCACAGUAAGAGCUUGCUCUUACGGGUGGCGAGUGGCGGACGAGUGAGGAAUACAUCGGAAUCUACUUUUUCGUGGGGGAUAACGUAGGGAAACUUACGCUAAUACCGCAUACGACCUACGGGUGAAAGCAGGGGAUCUUCGGACCUUGCGCGAUUGAAUGAGCCGAUGUCGGAUUAGCUAGUUGGCGGGGUAAAGGCCCACCAAGGCGACGAUCCGUAGCUGGUCUGAGAGGAUGAUCAGCCACACUGGAACUGAGACACGGUCCAGACUCCUACGGGAGGCAGCAGUGGGGAAUAUUGGACAAUGGGCACAAGCCUGAUCCAGCCAUACCGCGUGGGUGAAGAAGGCCUUCGGGUUGUAAAGCCCUUUUGUUGGGAAAGAAAAGCAGCAGGUUAAUACCCCGCUGUUCUGACGGUACCCAAAGAAUAAGCACCGGCUAACUUCGUG